rnacentral:lncRNA from 1 species
GGAGACCUACGUGGACGCCGUUGGCGCCCUUCUCCUCGAAAACCGCAGCUGAUCGAUCGUCGCCUGAUGCAGCCAUGCACGCAUGCAUGCAACGCUGUGUGUGUACCAUAGCUAGCCAGAUGAUUAAUUACUAAUUAACAUCUACCUUUAUUUUAAUUGACAUAGUAUUUGCAAAAUUUUUGCAUGAGAUAUAUCGGAGAAUUACUUUAAUUUCGAACUGGCUAUCGAAAAUUAAGGUUUGAACUGAUCGACCGAUAUUUUUUUUUUCUGGGCUUACAUCGAUCUUUCCCGACAGUUGUAUGACGAUAGGUUUGGAUCAGAUUGUAGUGAUGAAAUGAAAACACGGCAUCAUUUCAAAGGUUAUAUCUGUUAUUUUGUUCAUACAGGAUUUUUAGCGCAGUACCA